CCCUUAGAUGUCCGGGGCCGCACGCGCGCUACACUGAAGGAAUCAGCGUGGCUUUCUCCCUGACCCGAAAGGGUUGGGAAACCCGUUGAAUCUCCUUCGUGAUAGGGAUUGGGGCUUGAAAUUGUUCCCCAUGAACGAGGAAUUCCCAGUAAGCGCGAGUCAUAAGCUCGCGUUGAUUACGUCCCUGCCCUUUGUACACACCGCCCGUCGCUACUACCGAUUGAACGGUUUAGUGAGGGCCUCGGAUUGGUCUCGGCCCGCUCUUUACCGGGCGGCGCCGUUGGUCGAGAAGACGCUCGAACUUGAUCGUUUAGAAGAAGUAAAAGUCGUAACA
rnacentral:rRNA from 1 species